UCCCUCUGACCUUGAUCCUCGCCCUGACGGUGACCGGGCUCGUGGCUCUUUUAGUCGCUGUGUUCUGCUGUAGAUCCAAAGGUUGGAGGAUUUUCCGUUUGUCUGCGGCCGAGGAUACGGACACAGGGCCCAGGCAGGAGCUGACGACCGUCUAUGCCCAAGUGAAC